UUUUUCCCUUCCCUCACUCUUUCGUUCCCUAUAUAUAUUCUUAUUUCUUUUUUAUUAUUUACACUAUAAUAAUAAAGCCCUAACCCGUUUUAAGUGUUUUAACCCUUGAUCACCGAUACCCUGUCCAAGUGACGUAGGGCCCCGUAACGUAUGUCAAGGCUCUGCCUAAAUUCGUUGGGGUUCUGUCUCGUGACGUAGGGAUAAAGUGGAAUCGGGUUAUUAUACUUAAUGUGAGUGCACUAUAUAUUUUAGUAAAUAACCCAGAAGUGAUACCCGAAAUAUAGCAACCCUCCUAAAACACCCCUGACACCCUACACUUUCUAAAAUACACCCCGUAUGUGAAAACCAAGCCCGAAAUACAAUAUAUAAAUUAAAAACAAGAAAUAGUAAGUUGAGGCGGGCCGCGUAGACCCACCCCAACCAUUCACGCGGGCCGUAUGAAGGUGUAACCGGAUUCCUUUGAUUUCUUAAGUUCAAGCGGGCCGCGUAAGAUUCCCUUAACAUUAACGCGGGCCGCAAGAGGUUAAAAAGGUGGCGCAGCCCGGUGCGGCCACGUGGCCCAACACCCGGCUAAGCUAGUUGUCAACUCAGCACAGCUACGCGUUGACCCAGCUUUGACGCGGGCCGCGUAAGCUUUGUGCUUAUACUACGUGGGCCGCGAGAGACCCCGAUUCAGGCACUAUAUAAAGGAGGCAUCGGCUGUCCAUUUCAAUUCGUUCAUUCUUCGAUUCUUUCUCUCAAAUUCUGAUAUAAGGCUUUAUUAAGCGGGUAUUAUACCCCCCUAAUUAGCGAAGCUCUGCCUCGUUGUAAGUAUCAUAACCCCUGGAUACGUAUUAGAUACUCUGCCCGAUUGAUCUAGGGUUCCGUAACGGCUGUCGUGGUUCUGCCCGACGUAGUCGUUGGAAUGCCGUCUCGGGGAGGAUUAUAAACAGGGAAUUACAAAGGAAAGCCCUAUAAUAGCAAUGUAACUUAGUGUGAAGCCAAUAAAAGCCAGCUGGAGAGCACUGAAGGCUUGGAAAAGUGGCUAUAAAGUUACCUAAAAUAAAAUAGAUGUUUUUAUUAAAUCAAAUAGGAUUUAUUCCAAUGAAAAUUUAUGUACUGCAAAACUUGGGUUUUACCCCAUGUGUUUAAUAUUAUGAAAAUAUGGUGGUUUUACU
rnacentral:lncRNA from 1 species